rnacentral:lncRNA from 1 species
UGAAAACUACACAGAGAACCCAAAGAGUAUGUCUGACUUAUUCUGAACAUAAAGGAAUUGCAAAAAGGAUGGCGGAGAUCUGACGCCGAAACGCAAGUAGAGAUCCGACGACGAGAUGCUGCCUGUGAUGGUUGGAGGAAACUCAUAACAAAAUAAAGACAAAUAGGGAAAACUUUUUGUCUCUGGAAAUGAUGUGGGAGAAGAGAGGGAGGAAGAACAGUGACUUCCUCCU